rnacentral:rRNA from 1 species
AAUGAACGUUGGCGGCAUGGAUUAGGCAUGCAAGUCGAGCGAGAAGUGUAGCAAUACACGGAAAGCGGCGGAAGGGAGAGUAAUACGUGGGAAUCUGCCCUUAGACCUGGGAUAGCAGCGGGAAACUGCUGGUAAUACCAGAUAAUGUCUAUGGACCAAAGGUGUGAUUCAGUCUAGGGAUGAGCCCACGUCCUAUUAGCUAGUUGGUAGGGUAAUGGCCUACCAAGGCGAUGAUGGGGAGCGGGUGUGAGAGCAUGACCCGCCUCACUGGGGCGGAGACACUGCCCAGACACCUACGGGUGGCUGCAGUCGAGAAUCUUCGGCAAUGGGCGCAAGCCUGACCGAGCGAUGCCGCGUGCGGGAUGAAGGCCUUCGGGUUGUAAACCGCUGUCGAGGGGGAGCAACUUCCAUGGAGUUAUCUUUAUGGAUUGAGUGAUCCCUGGAGGAAGGACGGGCUAAGUUCGUGCCAGCCGCCGCCGUAACAC